UUUCUGAAUUUUUUUUAUUAAUUUUUAAAUUGUUAACAUUAAAGUUCAAUUCUUUUUCAGAAACAGGGGACGACGGACUGCUAUAAAAUAAAGCCAAAGUAAAGUCCUUUUUUCCUCACAUCUAAAUAAGAAAUUGAGUUUCCUCUGGAAACCAAUUCUUAAGCUCUGUUUUUUUCUUCCCAAAUUUUCACUGACCAUGCCGCUUCCGUGGAAGAAGAUGCGGGUGAACCGAAUUUCCCAAUUCGUCGCCGAUCUCCAAUCACCGAAACGGGGCGGUUCACUCGUGGUCCAGACUGGUUUUCCGACCUCCCUCGUCGACCUCUUCGUCAAGAACCGCGAUCACUUGAAAAAGCCGUCGAAAAAGAACAAGAACAGGAAGAAGAAUAACCGGUCGGCUGACCAGGUCAACGAUCGGAUCACGGCGAAUUGUGAACUGGGUUCGGGCAAUUUCGGGAUUUUGGUGCAACCCAGUUCACCAAAGGUCAAGAAUUUGAGCCGGGAAGAAGGUGAUCGCGGUGUUGAAGCUGGUGAGUUUCGGGUUUUGGGUGAGACUCAAGUUGAGAGUCGGAUUGUUGUUGAUGAUGAGCAAUGCGUCGGUGGGAAUUGGAGAGCGGUUUUGCUGGCGGUGUUGAAGAUGUUCGCGGUGGUGGUUUUGGCUUUGAGUACCAAGAAGCUCGCUGUUGGGGUCACAUUGUCUGCUUUUCUGCUUCUGUUUCUUGAAUACGCGGGUAAGCACUUGGCCUGUUUCUUCAAACCAUGCUCGAAAGCGAAAUCUGUUUUGCAAAACAUGGCUCAGAGGGCGUCUUCAUUUUUAUUGUUUCUGAAUGGUUUUCAUGAGAGUGAGGAUUUGAAGGGGAUGAUUGUAUGUGAAAAUACUGGGGAUGUUGUGUUUGAAUUGGUUGAUGCUACGAGUGAUUCAGACUCUGCUAUUGGAGAGAUUCAGAUUGUUGAGUCUAACAAGAAGGGAAGUGUGUGUGUUGAUGAAACUGGUGGAGACAGACCUUUGAUUGCUUUACUUGGUGCAGAUUAUGAGAAGGAGAGGGUCGUGGAUAAGAGAGAUGUUGGUGAUAAAACUUUGGUUGAGUUGCUUGGUAUGGAUUAUCAGAAGAGGACGGUGGUGGAUAAGAGAAGAGUGGGUGCAGAAAAGGCAGUCGGUGAAAGAACUUUGGUUGAGUUGCUUGGUAAGGAUUAUAAGAAGAUAAAGGUAGUGGAGGGUGGUGAAGAUGGAGGUGAAUUUAUAGCAGAUAAGAAGAGUAAGGGUGGCAAAAAUUCUAACAUUAAAUCAAAACUUAUCAAGAAAUUUGUGCCUAAGAAGUUGCGCAGAAAGGGUAAGCAAAAUGAACCGGAGCUGGAGCCUCUCCUAAGCAGUGAAGUUUCUUGUCACAUGGGAGAUGAUAAGGUAGAGGGAUGUGAAGAACAUGAAGACCAUAAAGAUGUGAAACAAGAGGAACAGGAAAGCGAAAACAUGUCAGUGUUUUCUGCAGAAGAGAAAAGUGAAAUCCAAGGAUUUGAUGGAGUUUCUGAUCUUGGCGAAGGAUCAUUGGCUGGGGGAGAAACACCCUUGAUUGUUGAAAGGAAGGGAAGAGAAGGGAAUUUAGGGUAUCUGGUUCUCUUUCUAAUUGUUCUUGCUGGACUUUUCGGAGGUCGGAUUGUAGCCCUGAUGCUUACAAUCACUAGCUGCUUUAUGCCGAAGUUGGCUGGAAGCCUGAGGAGAUCGGUAAAAAUAUGCCGGUGUUCUGCCCCAGUCUCAAGUUAGAAUAUAUGUGGUUGUUAUAGUGAUGUUCCUUCAGAUAUAGGGUUCUUGAAUUCAAGUCUCGAAUUGUAGUCUGAAUGUGAAAGCUCAGUGCGAUAGAAAUUCCAACCUUUUCGUUGGAUACCCAGCUUGAGACUGGGGUGCAGAAAAUACUGGCCAGAAGACACUCGUUUGCCCCAAAAGUUGCUCCGAAAGUAUUGAGCGACUUUGUUACAUAGAUGUUUAUUGAGCUGCCUUUCCACAGAAGUUGAUAACAGGGCAUGAGCUCAAUGAGUUUGAGUACCUGACCUCUUUAUUUUGUUUUGCCACCUACUUCUCAAUCAGAUUAAUCUGUGAGUCUUUUCUAAGGAAGAUAAGCAUGCUCUUAUGAACUCCAUUUCCUGAUAUGCGAACCCUGCUCUGCACAGAAGAUCAACUAGACAGCAUGGGGUAACUUCCCACCAUCUCAUUAAACAAUUUGCAGCCUCUAUUGACUUCAUUUUGCAUUCUCCAAACUCCCAUGCUUCAGGUACUUGUAGAGCACUACACACACACGAACACAUUCAUCUAGAAGUUGUUGAUAUCACUAACUGAGCUAUGAAGCUAACGCUAAUGCUAUCAGUGGUGUUGUGCAUCCCAGUCAUUGCACACACAAACACAGACAAUGUUGUAGAUGAUAUUUUGAGGAGAUGGUCCAUCGUCCAGGUUUAACUUCCUAGCAGAGGAUGCAAGCAUGCGGGGUAGAGUAACAGGGUUAAAACAUCUGCUCUCAUCAUAUCUGUUACAUGCAUUCUUAAUAUCCAAGAAAAUCUCGAAACCUUGUUUAAAGACCUUGUCUUAGUGAAUGCAUGAACCAUUAAAUUCCAUGAAACAAUGCCUUUCAAAUCAUAAGCAAGUUAUGAAAACCAGUUAUAGCCACUAAAUUCUGUUGAGUUUAAAAACAUUCAAGUGUGUGUAUACACACACAAACACAUAUAUCUAUCUCUUAUGUCCUGUUUUUUGGUCCUAAAAUCUCACUUCUUAGGUUGUUAGAAAUGCAGGCAGGUCUAGGGCACAAAGGUUCUUGCCUUCAUCAGGAAGUAAAGGGAAACACAAUAAUGAAAACAUUUGUAGAGUUCUAUUCAUGGAUUCCAUAACGCAAAUGUGCCUAUUUCAUGAUUUGGUAUGUGGGUUGUAAGUGAAAUAUAUAAAAGAACAGUUUAUUUAUUAUUUGUUAUUCAAGGG